CAGGCCCUCCCUCGCCGGCGGAAGGAGGCGCCGGCGAGCCUCGCCUCGUCCUGCCCGGCCCGCGGCACGAUGGCGAGCCCCGGCGGGCGGUGGGCCUCCCUGCCGGAGCUGCGGGGGGUGUUGCUGCCACCGCGGCGGCGGGCCGAGGCCGAGGAGGGCGAAGAAGAGGAGGAGGAGGAGGAGGAGGAGGGCGAGGAGGAGCCGCGCUUCGCGGAGGCCGCGCUCCUGGCGGCCUCCGGCGACGGGCCGGAGCUGACCGCCGCGCUGCCCCCGCGCCGAGCCGUUAUUAUACAAGACGAAGAAUCUAAGAAGGAGUAUGAAGUAGUUGGACGUUUUCCGUUAGUGGGCCCUUGGUGGACAGUUAAUGUUAAAGUUAAAAAGAUGGGAUCAAAGUACUUUGUGCAGGGAUAUCCAUCGUAUUUUCUGCGGACUGAUAUAGAGGAAAACAACCAACAAGUCUUUUCACUCUUUCUUCAGGAAUGUGACGUUCCUGAUUUUUUUAAACACGAGUUUUUUACUUGGCUUCCUAGGCAGCCUAUGCUGAGUUUUAGAAAACUUGAGGAAAAACUGAAACAGUUCCAGGUUUCGUACUUGGAGAAAAGGAAGAAGCAACGAAAUACCAAGGAUUUUGAUAUCUUUCAGUAUGUUUUGAAAUCCUUUGCAGGAAAGGCAGUGUUGGUAGCUAUGAAUUUUCCAAUGAUCAUGGAGUUCUUGCCAGUUCUUCUGCCACGCCAUUUUUGCUGUCUUUUGGAGAAAGUGUGUUGGCAAAAAGAGACUGAAAAUAACAGUGAUGCAGAUGUUGAGAAAGAAUAUUUCCAAGAUGACAUUCUAACAAAAUUGAAUGAUAUAUUAAAGAAUGAGCCAUGGAAACUUGGAUUCAGCAAGAUUACCUAUAAGGAACUGAACCUUUCUUAUUGUGAAACAACAUGGGCAGCCUUCUGUCAGUGCAGACGUCUCCUCCGGAAGAUUCCUGAAUUGCAGAAGAAUGCAUUGAUUCUAUAUGAUCAACUCAAGAAACAAUGUAGAGAAAUGGGACAUACUUAUGAAGAUCAAGAUGAAUUAAUUCGUUUUGUAUCUAAAGAUAUGUCUAUUGAGCAUGCUUGGCAAUCUCUUGAAUUUUUGAAAGAUCAGCAUAUAAUGAUUAGGGAGAAAAAAAUGGUGUUUCUGCCUCAUCUUUACAAAUCGGAAAAAGACAUUGCGAUGUAUAUAGGUGACCUUUUGUCAAACCACUCAUGGCAACUAGAUGUUGAUGUGAGACAUAUACUUAAUGUUUCUGAGACAUCAAGAGAAAUAGUAGAUAUUAAAAUGGAUGUUACCCAGGCUCCUGAAAUGGAGUACACAAAAGAAAAUAGUCCAGAAAAUCAUGAUUGUGAAAAUAGCUUCCUUAAAAAGGAAAUGGAGUCUACAUCUGGUACCCAAAGUAAAGCAGAGGCAGACCUAGAUCAGGUGAUUGCUAUGCAAAAGAUUUGCUCUAAUCCUGUCACAAUCGUAAGUGGAAAAGGAGGCUGUGGUAAGAGUACAAUAGUUAGCUGCCUUUUUCAUCACUUAAAGCAGAUGGAAAAAGAAGUGGAAGCUGCUUCUAAGGAUUUUGAGGGUGACCUGGAAGCAUCUGGGGAAUGGAAUACUUCUAAUCAUCACUGGGAGUCAGAAGAUACUUGCACAAAAAAUCUUCUGAAUGUAUUAUUUACUGCACCUACAGGGAGGGCAGCAAGCCUUUUGAGUGAAAAAACUAGGCUUCCUGCAUAUACCCUGCAUCAGAUCAUCUAUAGUUUUAAAUCAUGGAAGCAGAGUGAACAAGGACUGCCAUGGAAGUUUUCUACUGUGACAAUUCUGGUUGUGGAUGAAGGAAGCCUGGUGUCUGUACAUAUUCUUAGUUUAGUUCUAAAGCUCUUAUGUGAGCAUGCUCAGCUUGCCAAACUUAUCAUACUUGGUGAUACUAGACAGCUCCCCAGCAUAGAUCCUGGCAACAUGCUAGCUGAUGUCUUCGAGGGCCUAAAAUCCAAAGGGCUAUCUGUGGAACUGCGAACUAAUCACAGAGCUGAAUCGCAAUUAAUUGUAGACAAUGCAACGAGAAUCUCUCAUCGGAGGCUUCCUGAAUUUGAUGAGGUGCUAAAAGUUUCUGCUUGGAAUGAAGAACUGACAAUGCCAAGCCCUGAGAAGAAAUUCAUUUUUAUUGCUUUGCCUUCUGGUGGGGGCUGUGACAAUUUGCAGGCUGCCAUAAAGACUUUACUUAAAAAAGGACCAGGAUUGCAGGAUGCCAGACAAUCACAGUUCAUUGCUUUUAGAAGGCAAGAUUGUGAUCUAAUAAAUGAACUUUGUUGCCGGCACUAUUCAAACCAUUUAACCAGAGACCAUAAAAGACGGCUUGUAUUUCAAACUGAUGACAAGAUUUGCUGCAUGCGAAAUAUCUAUCUCAAGGAUCUCUUGCCAGGCCCUGGUUUCAGCAAGGAUCCUGAUCGCCAUGAAUGCAAAAGUGGAAAACCCCCACUGGCUGCAGAAGCUACUGAGGAGGGCAAACGACUGUGCAAUGGAGAUAUAUUUUUCAUAACAGAUGAUGUAGAAAUUAAUAAACAACGUUUACUGACCAUCAGCAGCACAUAUGGCUCCACAUUCACUGUAGUAUAUAAGGCACUGAAGAAGCUAUGUCAUAUAAAACAUGCAUGGGCCAGAACUAUUCACACAUUUCAGGGUUCUGAGGAAAAAACUGUCGUCUAUGUAGUUGGGAAUCCAGGCCGUCAGCACUGGCAGCAUGUAUACACGGCUGUGACCAGAGGACGCUGCCGAGUCUAUGUUAUAGCUGAAGAGAUGCACCUCAAGAAAGCAGUCACUAACAAGAACAUUCCCAGAAAAACUCGCUUACAAAAAUAUUUGAGAGAGAGAAUCGCAGAAAUAAGCAACUGUCCAAAACAAGCUUCUCCCCUGAAGAAGAGCUGGCAAAAUGAAGAACUUGAGGCUCAGUCCGUUUCUGUAACUCAAGAUGCUCCUGACCCAACUGAACCUGUAACUGACUCAGUUAAACAAGAAGGGUCUGCAGUUCUUAAUGAAGAGCAGACCAGUAAUUCGCAGCAGAUAAGUCCGUAUAAAAGACAAAGUCUUAUGGCAAAUUUGGGGGAUGUUAUGAAAACAUCGUUGGAUCCCGUGUCUCUGUGUUAACAGCAUGUCCAGUCUGUUGAAGGAAGGCAUUAUUUUGAUCGCUCCAUUCCCCACUUGCUGAAGUCUGUUGUUCUGAGCUUCCUUGCUGAGAUGCCAGCGGAUUUCUGCUAAUAACCAGUUCCAGCUUAUUGCCAGAUUCAGCGAUGAGGGGCACAACUAGGCAGCAGUCAAAGUCUCUGGUGCCUCCUUCAUACUGGACAUGAUGCUUUAUCACUCAGGUGCUGCACUGGCUUUUGAUAAGGUAACAAAAAUUGUCUAUAGAGUUGACUACUGCAUUGUCCGUGGUUCCACCAGGGUAAGGUAGAUCAGUAUCUCUGUUUCUUUGGCCUGAUCAUGUGUGAACUGUUUGGCAGUACGAGCAAUAAUCCAUGUGCUGCCCCCUCCCGCAUGUGCCAGCCACUAAUGCAGUCAUCAGCGGGGAGCAGGUACUGACCCAGACCUCUGACUGCGCUGGAGCCAGCUACGUAUUACUCAAUUCCAUUUUGUUUUUUUCCUGAUCCCUCAAAGCAAGGUCAACACUGAAUUCAGAUCAGGCUGCCUAGGAUUUUGUCUGUAUUUCAGAAAAUACUCAGGCACAGCAGAAAUGGAGUGCCACAUUGGUUGGUGCUGCUUUCAGAAAGCUUCUGGCAUUAAUGACCUUAAUUAAUGUGGAAAGAUAAGCAAGUACGGGCAAAGCUGUCUAAAAACUGCUACAGGAUUUGGUGAGAUCAACAGUGGAUAAUGAUUUUUUUUUUUUUUCUGUUCCCUGCACUUUUCUUGGAUUGACUUGGCUUUACUAGUACACCAACAAUGCUUUAACCAGAAUGAAACCAGACUCACUAGCAAGUUUGUUGAUCGCUAUCCUGGGCAGCAGCAGAGACAGGAAGACACAGCGCCAGCUGCUGCAGCGCUGCCACCUUUCCGUCUCUGGCAGCAGGCAGCGUUUGCAUCCCUGAACUGUGCCGAGCCCAUUUCACGCAGUGGUUACGAAAAACUAGUGGAACAUCUCCUCCUGUUGGCCCAUCUUGCUGUAAUUAAACUAAUGUACAAACUGUGAUCCAGAGGGUGCACAGGCCCUGACUACCCUGACUCAGACUCAUCCCAUUGACCAAGUAAAUAUGCACGUGUGCGGUCCUACGUCAGAAACUGGGAAUGCUCAGCAAUUUGAAGUUAAGUAGACGCUUAAAUGUCUUGCUGAAAUAAGUCACAAGCAAGCUGUGUGUUAGCUUCCAUUUCAACAAGCGCUUAUACUGUUAUAGUCUUCCAAAACAGUUAUUAUUUAAUUAGAUGUCCUAAUGUCGGUGGUCCAGCUGACUAAGGCAUCAGCCUGCAGAGAGCUCAUUUGCCAGCAAGAUCUGUUAGGAAGAACACUUGAAUCCAGGCUUUUCUCUGAUGGUGAAGUGAAGCCGUACCUGUGCAACUGCAGCUGUUUUGGAAAACUGUGACUGGAUAAGCUGUCCAUAAGAAACAGUCUAACAGGAAAAAUUAAGGAGGGAGAGAAAGUAACAGAUACACUGCUACACAAGAACCAGUAAGAAAACCAACAACAGACAUACAAGCACACUGUGCUGAUCUGACUGUAAGAUCCAGUCACUGGUCUUCUGUUUUUCUUAAAAGACUGUAAGAAUUGGAAGAUAUGGUGCGGGUUCAACUUUUAGAUUUUUAGAGAAGAAAAUUAUUCUUGAUGAGAAAACAGAUAGGAUAAGGAAACUUAGCAUCACUUCAGCGGACAGCAGGAACGUGGAUAUGCUGGCUGAACAAACAGUGAAAACUUCUAAAACAGAAGGUCAUGGCAAUCAUAAAAUGGCAACCAAAGAGAGAGAAAGCUCAAGGACAGGGUAUUUUUUUACUACCCAGGACUCUAAGAACUAACAGCUAGGACAGAAUAAUAGAAUAGAUAGGAUAGGAUAGAUCAAUAAAAAUCUUACUCUUCCUUUCCAGCAAAGAAUUUGUUUUAACAACCAUUCUGAAAGUCAGAUUUUAUAUUCCACAGGAGAAAACAGUGCCUCUGCUGACUGUGAGCACACCAUGAAACGCCUACCAGCAGAGUUUCACUGCGUAUCUCACAUUUACUCGCCACUCAAGAAAACAGCACAGUAACCAGCUCCAUUAAUCACUUCACAUCCAGCUGGAAAUACAAAUGGCUUAAAACAAGAUCAUGACAUAUCCUCUUGAUAGUUUAAAUCGGCAAUUAAUUCAUCUUCCAUAUGGAAAAUCCACUCUCCACUGUCUUCGAACAACAUCCGUUUAGCACAUACUCAGUAAGGCCUUACGUUUCAAUGCAUGAACUAAACUGAAUCAAACCUACAGAGAUUAAACAGCAAACCAACUCCCUUGAGAGUGAUGAUAUUUGACCUCUUAAAGGAAAUUUCUCCAUGCUUCUGGCUCCUCUUCUUUUUAUCUUAGCUGUAUCGCAAUGGAAGAUCCCAAACCUUCAAGAGGAAAGGUGGGUGCAGGAAAUGGGAUGUUCCUCAAAGUUUUGGAAACUGGGUGCCAUUAUGGCCUCACUGAACUAAAGACUUAAACCGACGUGGCCUAUGCUGUGCAUAUCUAGAAAUACUUCGGGAACUUCCUUUUGGUGUACAGCCACCUUAAUAUCACCGGGUGACUCCAACAGAGUCUUAAGCAAUGAAAAGCUGUAGAGACUGAAAAUCAUUUAUCCUAUUUACAGCAAAGGUAUUAGAAGAGAAGCAAUAGCUAAUUUGAAAUAACAUUCUAUAUUAUGUACAUACAAGUAUCAUGCAUUUGAUUCAAAAUGAGUGUUAAUUUGAAAAAGGACCAACGGGAGCUACAAACCCUCCUGGGUAAUGUUCUAAAGAAAUAUAUUUUCUAGAAAUUAAACUUUGCUUUCUUAAUGAA